rnacentral:rRNA from 1 species
UCUGGUCAUUGGAGCAGGGUGGAACCACCUUUUCCCAUUUCGAACAGAGAAGUGAAACGCCUUAGCGCUGACAAUAGUUUUCCCGCAAGGGGAUUUGAAAAUAGGUCAUGGCCAGAA